AGGACGAACGCUGGCGGCGUGCUUAACACAUGCAAGUCGAGCGGAAAGGCCCUUCGGGGUACUCGAGCGGCGAACGGGUGAGUAACACGUGAGUAACCUGCCCCAGACUUUGGGAUGACCCUCGGAAACGGGGGCUAAUACCGGAUAUGACACUUCACCGCAUGGUGUGGGUGUGGAAAGUUUUUCGGUUUGGGAUGGGCUCGCGGACUAUCAGCUUGUUGGUGGGGUGAUGGCCUACCAAGGCGACGACGGUUA
rnacentral:rRNA from 1 species